rnacentral:rRNA from 1 species
GUGGGGAAUAUUGCGCAAUGGGCGAAAGCCUGACGCAGCGACGCCGCGUGAGGGAUGAAGGUCUUCGGAUCGUAAACCUCUGUCAGCAGGGAAGAACGGUCACUGUGCUAAUCAGCAGUGAAUUGACGGUACCUGCAAAGGAAGCACCGGCUAACUCCGUGCCAGCAGCCGCGGUAAUACGGAGGGUGCGAGCGUUAAUCGGAAUUACUGGGCGUAAAGCGCUCGUAGGCGGUAUGUCAAGUCAAGGGUGAAAUCCCCGCGCUCAACGUGGGAACUGCCUUUGAAACUGGCAAACUGGAGUGUGUGAGAGGAUAGUGGAAUUCCAGGUGUAGGAGUGAAAUCCGUAGAUAUCUGGAGGAACAUCAGUGGCGAAGGCGACUAUCUGGCACAUAACUGACGCUGAGGAGCGAAAGCGUGGGUAGCAAACAGGAUUAGAAACCCCGGUAGUCC